AAGAAUUAUGAAAUACAGAGACUGCUAAUUAUCUGACCCU
rnacentral:tRNA from 1 species